GACGAACGCUGGCGGCGUGCUUAACACAUGCAAGUCGAACGGAAAGGCCCUGCUUUUGUGGGGUGCUCGAGUGGCGAACGGGUGAGUAACACGUGAGUAACCUGCCCUUGACUUUGGGAUAACUUCAGGAAACUGGGGCUAAUACCGGAUAGGAGCUCCUGCUGCAUGGUGGGGGUUGGAAAGUUUCGGCGGUUGGGGAUGGAUUCGCGGCUUAUCAGCUUGUUGGUGGGGUAGUGGCUUACCAAGGCUUUGACGGGUAGCCGGCCUGAGAGGGUGACCGGCCACAUUGGGACUGAGAUACGGCCCAGACGCCUACGGGAGGCAGCAGUGGGGAAUAUUGCACAAUGGGCGGAAGCCUAAUGCAGCAACGCCGCGUGCGGGAUGACGGCCUUCGGGUUGUAAACCGCUUUCGCCUGUGACGAAGCGUGAGUGACGGUAAUGGGUAAAGAAGCACCGGCUAACUACGUG
rnacentral:rRNA from 1 species